rnacentral:piRNA from 1 species
UAACGCUAAGUUGCUUGCGAGCUGGUA